UACGAAGGGGGCUAGCGUUGCUCGGAAUCACUGGGCGUAAAGGGUGCGUAGGCGGGGCUUUAAGUCAGGGGUGAAAUCCUGGAGCUCAACUCCAGAACUGCCUUUGAUACUGAAGAUCUUGAGUUCGGGAGAGGUGAGUGGAACUGCGAGUGUAGAGGUGAAAUUCGUAGAUAUUCGCAAGAACACCAGUGGCGAAGGCGGCUCACUGGCCCGAUACUGACGCUGAGGCACGAAAGCCAGGGGAGCAAACGGG
rnacentral:rRNA from 1 species